CAAGUUAUCCAAACACAUUAGGGGCGUGGCCACUUUGAGUGGCAGCUUGUGUGUUGUCACUGCAGUCAGUCAGAGGCUACUGUGAAGUCCCAUCUU